rnacentral:rRNA from 1 species
CCUACGGGAGGCAGCAGUGAGGAAUAUUGGUCAAUGGACGAGAGUCUGAACCAGCCAAGUAGCGUGAAGGAUGACUGCCCUAUGGGUUGUAAACUUCUUUUAUAUGGGAAUAAAAUGUUCCACGUGUGGGAUUUUGUAUGUACCAUAUGAAUAAGGAUCGGCUAACUCCGUGCCAGCAGCCGCGGUAAUACGGAGGAUCCGAGCGUUAUCCGGAUUUAUUGGGUUUAAAGGGAGCGUAGGUGGAUUGUUAAGUCCGUUGUGAAAGUUUGCGGCUCAACCGUAAAAUUGCAGUUGAAACUGGCAGUCUUGAGUACAGUAGAGGUGGGCGGAAUGCGUGGUGUAGCGGUGAAAUGCUUAGAUAUCACGAAGAACUCCGAUUGCGAAGGCAGUUCACUGGACUGCAACUGACACUGAGGCUCGAAAGUGUGGGUAUCAAACAGGAUUAGAUACCCUUGUAGUC